rnacentral:rRNA from 1 species
CCUACGGGUGGCAGCAGUGAGGAAUAUUGGUCAAUGGUCGGGAGACUGAACCAGCCAAGCCGCGUGAGGGAUGAAGGUACAGAGUAUCGUAAACCUCUUUUGUCAGGGAACAAAGGCGGGGACGUGUCCCCGGAUGAGUGUACCUGAAGAAAAAGCAUCGGCUAACUCCGUGCCAGCAGCCGCGGUAAUACGGAGGAUGCGAGCGUUAUCCGGAUUUAUUGGGUUUAAAGGGUGAGAGGGCGGUUUGUAAAGUCAGCGGUAAAAGCCCGGGGCCCACCCCCGGCCCGCCGUUGAAACUGGCAGCCUGGAGUUGGAGAGAAGUAUGCGGAAUGCGCGGUGUAGCGGUGAAAUGCAUAGAUAUCGCGCAGAACUCCGAUUGCGAAGGCAGCAUGCCGGCUCCACACUGACGCUGAGGCACGAAAGCGUGGGUAUCGAACAGGAUUAGAUACCCGUGUAGUC